rnacentral:rRNA from 1 species
UUGGUUAAGUCCGCAACGAGCGCACCCCUAUUGUUAGUUGCCAUCAUUCAGUUGGGCACUCUAGCGAGACUGCCGGUAAUAAACCGGAGGAAGGUGGGGAUGACGUCAAAUCAUCAUGCCCCUUAUGACCUGGGCUACACACGUGCUACAAUGGUUGGUACAACGAGUUGCGAGUCGGUGACGGCGAGCUAAUCUCUUAAAGCCAAUCUCAGUUCGGAUUGUAGGCUGCAACUCGCCUACAUGAAGUCGGAAUCGCUAGUAAUCGCGGAUCAGCACGCCGCGGUGAAUACGUUCCCGGGCCUU